UUAUACACAGUGCGGUUCUAGCUUGCAUGUGUCUGUGAUGCAUGGUGCCAGGCAUUGUGUUUUCAUUCAGUAAAUUAGUUUAAUUCUUUUUUUUUUUUUUUUUUAGCCCAAGCGUCUGCUGUGUUUUUGUUCAAUAUUGCAACUUUUCAUUACAGCGAGCGUUGCCGUGGAGAGGAAUUACACUGUAUUUUAUCAGAGAGAGCAGUGUGUCAUUGCCACCUCCCCAUGGUUUAUAUUCCAGACACAAAGAACAGCUGUCUCUCUCUCUGUGCCCAAGGGACUCUGCUGACUGUCUGUAUCAGUGCAGGACAUGUCUGAGUGGGAAUGGUGUGUGUGUGCGAGAAAGUUUGUGUGUGUGUGUGUGUGUGUGUGUGUGGACAGAUGCUUGUGCAAAGGACAGUCACAAGAUCCCUUUGAAGCUCUUGCUUAAUAUAUAUCAACAAAGAAACACUUAUUUCUGAAUUGGUCGUUAGUGCAGUUUCAUUUAGCCGAUCUCAGGUUUGUGGCUUUUAUAAAAAGGUCCCCCGAUUUGAGUUGGAAUUCCUCUGUUUAGGCACGACAAAAGAUAACUGUCUGGUUAUUGGUUUUUCAUCUUUCGCCCAAACAGAUUUGGUUAUCGGUUGUCCUCUGCCCCUCAACGCCCCCUUGAACCCCACCGCGCGAGGACUCCACGUUGGCCCGGCCGGAGGGGUUUGUGUGCUGGUGGCCUGUCAGCUCAGUCGUCCCCUGAUUAACAUCGAUCAGCCCUGUAAUGGCCGACCAGUCCCCAACUGUCCUGCUGAACUGAUAGAACUAUUGUUUCCGCAGUCUGAGGGAGGGGAAACUGACUCAUUAUCCCGAAGAGUGAUUUGAUGUGGGUCCACAAGCAUGACAAGAUGCUGUUGAAUGUGGUGGCGAGAUGGCCGGGGGGGAACGCACAACUCAUUCAUUCUGCAGAACAGCAACGUUGGCCUUGGCUUACAGGAGGGAGCUGUUCAGGAUGGCUGGCUCAUUGGUAUGUAUUGCCCAGGCAUCAAGUAUUUGCCAUUAGUGGAUUCUAUUUACCUAUAUGACUCUCCCCGUAGGAGACAGAGGUUAUCCAUUGAAACUGUGGCUGAUGACUCCUUUGACCAAUCCUGCGACGGCACAGGAGAGCGCCUAUAAUGCUGCACACCGUCGCAUAAGGUCGAUCGUGGAGCCCACAAUUGGAACUCUGUUUCGUCAUCUGCUGGGGGUGCUUUGCAGUAUAAACCGGAAGAGGCUUGCAACAUAGUCAUGGCCUGUUGGGUUCGUACAUCCAUCUGGAUAGUCACAUCCUGACCUGGUCCCUACAUCCAUCUGGAUAGUCACAUCCUGACCUGGUCCGUACAUCCAUCUGGAUAGUCAUAUCCAGACCUGGUUCGUACAUCCAUCUGGAUGGUCACAUCCAGACCUGGUUCAUACAUUCAUCUGGAUAGUCACCUCCAGACCUGGUUCGUACAUCCAUCUGGAUAGUCACAUCCUGACCUGGUUUGUACAUCCAUCUGGAUAGUCAUAUCCUGACCUGGUUCGUACAUCCAUCUGGGUAGUCACAUCCUGACCUGGUUCGUACAUCCACCUGGGUAGUCACAUCCAGACCUAGUAUGUACAUCCAUCUGGAUAGUCACAUCCAAACCUGGUUCAUACACCAAUCUGGGUAGUCAUGUCCAGACCUAGUUUGUACAUCCAUUUCAAAGUCAAAGUCUUUAUUGGUAUCAUUCUAAACCUGUGUUGGAUAAUAUGUUAUUUUAUUUCAAAUAGGACUGUUAUUUAGAUGGCUUAUUAUGCUUUGCAUGUGUAUAUUGGAGCCCUAUGUAUUUUUAUUGUUUAUGAACCUGUGAUUUAUUCAUCACAAUGCAGUCUAUUGCAAUGUUAAUUCCCAUUGAUAGUGAGUCCUGUGUGGCCUUUGCCAUAGCCAGGUUGUCAUUUUGCCGACCAGUGGUACCCAGACUCUGGCCUCAUGACAUCCGAGUCAUAAUAAAUUCUUGAGAGGCCAAUGUGAGAACACCCAGCUUCACAAACACACACACACACACACACACACACACACACAUGCACAUACUUCCUCGUGAUGACAGCAAGCCGAUGAAUGGGUGGGUCUUGAAGCACUUAAAACACCAGUGCUCAAUAAAUUAGAGAUUCCAUUCUCCAAUGUAUUGAUAGCGGGGCAGUGGCUGUACUUUUUUCAAUCAAUCUUUUGUUGGAAUUUAUGAAGGACAAUAAAAAAACAAUUAAAGAAACAAAGAGACAGACAGACAUUUGGACAUAAAAAAUCUAUAGAAUACAAAAGACGACUCCCAGCCUCACUUUUCAGAAUUAGCAUUGUGAGCACGACUCCUGGGCACUCAAUUAAUAUUAUAAACAAAGGCAAUGAAGCAUUGCUUACUGCCUCUGCUUUACACGUCCAUCUACUCACACACACACACACACACGACACUCGCUGUCAGAAUGACGCUGUGGAAAUGGCCCCCAUGUGUAUGAGUUCUCGGCCCUUCGGUCGGCCAAGAGUAAAUAAUUUAUUAAUGUUGUGAUUCUUACCAAACUUCAUCAUUUAUUUUAUUACGGGUAUGUGGUUUGUUUUUCUAAACUUUAUUUAUACAGUCAACUUGUUUAACUUGACAACCUUAUUUUUGCAUUAAGAAAAUGUUGAGGUUUCUGCAAUAAAUCCUCCGCCGACCUGAGGAAUCUCAGUCAACUGAAGUGUAUAAAAGACAAUAUGUCCGGUAGUUCAUGCCGGUAAUAAAACACAAAGCAUGUUAGACUGCAUCUAGAGGUCUUAGUACUGAGGCUUUGACAUGCAUAUACACUCACCUAAAGGAUUAUUAGGAACACCUG